AUUGAGCGCUGGCGGCAGGCCUAACACAUGCAAGUCGAGCGGCAGCGGGAAAGUAGCUUGCUACUUUUGCCGGCGAGCGGCGGACGGGUGAGUAAUGCCUGGGAAAUUGCCCAGUCGAGGGGGAUAACAGUUGGAAACGACUGCUAAUACCGCAUACGCCCUACGGGGGAAAGCAGGGGACCUUCGGGCCUUGCGCGAUUGGAUAUGCCCAGGUGGGAUUAGCUAGUUGGUGAGGUAAUGGCUCACCAAGGCGACGAUCCCUAGCUGGUCUGAGAGGAUGAUCAGCCACACUGGAACUGAGACACGGUCCAGACUCCUACGGGAGGCAGCAGUGGGGAAUAUUGCACAAUGGGGGAAACCCUGAUGUAGCCAUGCCGCGUGUGUGAAGAAGGCCUUCGGGUUGUAAAGCACUUUCAGCGAGGAGGAAAGGUUGAUGCCUAAUACGUAUCAACUGUGACGUUACUCGCAGAAGAAGCACCGGCUAACUCCGUGCCAGCCGCCGCCGUAAUAC
rnacentral:rRNA from 1 species